rnacentral:lncRNA from 1 species
CUUGCAAGAUAGUCAGGCAACAAGGAGCCGAUAUGAAAUGACGUGCACGUACAUGGCGGCUUGCCAGCGACUAGCACCCGCGCGGCUAGAGCAAAAAUUGGACCGCAUUCCUUGUGUUAACACAUCCUGCACACGGUGUUCCGCGAUGUUCUUCGAUCGUUUUUGUGAGAUUCCAUUGCCUUACGGGUUUUUACACCAUCCAAUGAACACUCGUUUGGUUUAUUACGGUAUUAACGUAAAAGAUAACAUAUCCGAUACUUGGCGAGCAACGAUCAGGAACGAAUAAGCGCGAAGGUAGCCGAAAGAUGGCGGAGAGAGACGGUAGAGAAGGGGAUUUCGAUUAAUUAGCAAUCCAAGAUGUUGCAUUACGAGAGCAGAUGUAGAUGGUAAUCAAGAUUAUCCCUGAUUUGUUUUGUCGGUAAAUUGCGCCUUUGGAUUUCGCGACCAGCAUCUUCAUUAAUCCUGAUCUUUCGAAUGUUUCGAUUCAAUCUUAUUCGUUGCGCGUACUGUGCACGUAAUAUGAGUGUAUCGAUAUCGAACUCGUAAUUUCGCGAUACAUCGAUUAAUUAUCGUAGGCAAAUUCAGUUCAGUGGGAUGUGUUGCGUUGUUCGUGUUCGUGUUGCGUUUCAUCUAGAAUUGUGAUUUUACGUUGGAUUUUUCUUGUGCAGAAGAAAGAAAAUAGAAAAUAGAAAAUAGAAAAAGGACGAGUGACUUGAGGUCUCCUGACAAGCCAUCUUUCUAAUUCCACGGUGGUCCGUUCCUUUGGGAUUUCGUCGCAAGUUUGGCAAACAGGACAUUGUGCUUGGACGACGAUCACGCUAAGGAGGGAGCUGUUACCGAACCGAACGACACGAAUGUCCCUCUCUAUUCUUCAGAGGAAGUUUAAGGUGGUGGAGGCGAGAUGGAUGGAGACCAAAGGCAAGAUGGAGGAGGAGGAGGAUUGAUCUUCACGGUUAAAGUAUCUCUCGAUGGAGCAGUUCGUCAUAGCUCGUCGACGGCCACGUUACGUAAAGCCGAUAAGCGAGAACCUGGACGCCUUCUCCCCUGCGGGAUCCUGAUCAUUCUUAGUGGAGGAAGCGGCGCAUGCUGCGGAAGGAAGGCGAAAGUGGAGAAGUGGCGAUGCUUGUAGGGCAUUAACGGAUUGAAGAGCGGCUGGCAAACUCGAGUGAAAUUGAAAGAAAAUAGGACGGUGGUAUCGAUUUCGUUUUCGCCCCUUUCACGUGUUCCGGAUUUUCUCUAUAUUUUUAUCUCAAAAAAAGAAAAAGAGAGAAAAGAGAUUGAUCGAUUGAUUGAUUGAUAAUUUGAAAUUUCGUGGCGAGAAAGAUCAUUGUACAGAUUAUUAUUAUCGAAAGGGAUGUAGGAUUGAAAGAAAGAUAAUAUAUUUACAUUGUUUGCAUUGCUUUUAUAUAAACAUUUUCUUAAAUUGCAAGUUUCUUUUAAAUUCAUAAAAAGGGAUAUAAAAUUGGAAGAAAAUAAGGUAUAUUAUACACGCUUUUGUAUAAACACUUUCUUAAAUUUACCUUCGAAUCUCGAGUUUGAGAAUCUUCAAAAUAAUUUCAAUUUUUCAAAGAUUGCACGAUGCAUGUUCAAUAUACGAUUCAAAAACGUGGAAUCAAGGAAGGAAAAGUAGAAUUCGUAGCCUGGAACCAUCCAAUUCAACCAUCACCGUCAUAGUUCCUCCACUUUUAUUCCCAAAGGGAGAUCCCCUUCUUUCGUUUCCAUUUAACUCGCGACAAGUUAACCCGCUGCCGAACAAAUGAUCGAUGACACAUCGAAACUGCAUCCCGUAUCAGCAUGCGUGUGGAUAAAUGGAUACGAAGAAUGGAGGAGGAAGGAGAGGAAAGAUAGGGCCGCUUGGACGAGAUUGGAUAGAAGUUUGGAAAUUCCAUCGAAAGUUUCGACGAUAGAUGCAUCAUAGGCGGAUUGUUUACGGACAGUGGGCGAAACAAGGGGCACGAAUUUUCCAUAAAGCGCCGUAAAUCGGGAAAGGGGCAAGUUUUCGAUACUCUCCCCCCUCGGGAGAAGAAUCCAAUCCCGUUCUUCCUCGUGGUUCGAACAAAUCACGUUUGGAUAUUUCGACGUGCGCGCCGAAUAUUUUCCAUCCGAACAUCCUUCUUUUUUCUUCUUCCUCGCGCAUGAUGUGUAUUCCGACGCGCCUCGCUCUUUCCUUUUCGUCAUAAUCCCAUACGAAUGUAAAAUUUAACGUUUGAAAUUUUUUAUUAAGUACUUUCUUGUACUUCGAGAAUUGGAAAUCGUUCGUGGAUUUCAAUUUUUCUCGACGAGUGGAUUUUCGUAUCAACGGAUAUAAUGAUCGAAAAUGCUUCAGAAAAACAAGUUGUAGUAAAAAUAUGAAAGCUAGAUAGUUCGUUGUUGAUAUCAUCGAAAUGUAACGAUAAGAUUGAAUUCGAUCUGCUCGUUCUAGUCUGGUGUCAAGUUUGCGCUCGUAACGACAUUGGAAAUAAUAUAAACUUCUUCUCCAUGUAAUAAACCGUGAUAAUUGUUUCCUAUAUUUCUCCACAACAUUCUUUUCUACUCACAGAACACAUCCUGUAUACGUGGAAUGGAAACACUGGAUUGUCAACAAAAGAAAUUUCAUCGAUCGAAAGACUAUCACGCAAUAAACGUCAAAAUUUUAUACUGAGACGUUUAACGGUUCGAGUAUAAUCAGAUUCAAAAUGAUGAACAGUAAACAACGUAUGGUAUAUAUAUAUAUAUAUAGAGGCGGAACAGGAUCGAGAUAAAGAGGGCAACGGUGACGAGGGUUGAGAAACGAACAGGCGGAGAGAAAGAAGCGAUGUACCGGGUGUAAAUUCAUUCAUGGAAAAAAAGCCAGGCAGACAGAAAGGACAGAGAGAGAGAGAAAGAGAAAGAGGGAGAGGUGCAUGCACGCUUGGGCCAUGGACGUCCGCCCACGGUUCCUCGCUCGCCAUUCACGAGUGGCGGAGUGGCGUGAAUGAAAACGCGCUUGCGUAGGUCCGAGUGCGUGCGUGUGCACGUGUCGUCAAGCGUUCGAACACGCGCGCCGAUGCACGUAUUCGAAAGCCUCUCCACGCUUGCUUUCGAUUUCGAGCCCGAGAAAGGAAUAAUGGAAUGCGCCGUGCCGAGUUUCUUCUUCCUCUUGUUCCAAGUUUCGAGUCGGGAGGGAGGGGGAAAUUUAUUGGAAUGUUGCUCCUUUUUAUCGCUUGUUUAUCGAUUUUCGAUUUGUUCGUUUUUUUUUUUUUAUUUAAUUAUUGGAAAGAAACUUGUACUUGUACGAUACAAAUCCUUUCUUCCCCAAAAAAAUUCAUUCCUUGAUCGAUCCAUGGGACGAAUAUAUAGUCAGAAUUAUUUUCAAAACACUUUUCAAUCUAUAGCCUUCACAGUAAAAUCUUCUUCCAUUCGAUUCACCUUCUCUCAAACUUUUAAUUUUCUCCUUCGACUCAAAAAUUCUCGAAUCAACAACAAACACAAAUCAUCUCCAAACUGUCCGUAAGAAAAACUUUUCCUCUUCGUACGAGCUUAUGAAAAAAUUUCCAAAUCGACGAAACAAGCACGCUGCAACAUCGAACACAUCUUCGCCACUUCCAACGCAAAACCAUCCCCCACGAGAUGUCCCCUGAUCCAGAUAAACAAGCAAAAACAUACACACACAUACACACGCGUCGAGAAUCACGCAACACGAUUCGGUUUCUCCGCUCAUUGUUCGAGUUCCCGGUUUCCGUGGAACGGGUUUUCGUGCGUAAAAAAAAAAAAGAGAGAAAAAAGGGGGAAAAAGAGAAAGAGAGAAAAAAAGAGAGACGAAGAGAGGCCUGGACAAGCAACGACACGACAGCGAGAUAUUUGCAUAUCCGCUGUCAACUCUCGUCACGCUGGCGAGCAAUAAGCGGCAAGGUCAUUCACACUGGCGCGCCGUUUGUUCAAUGAGCUCCCUCCCUCCCCUCUUCCUCUCCUCUUCCACUCGUUUAAUCCUACGCUGUCAGCUGUCGAAGACGCGUGCUCCUUUUACCGAAGAAGAAUCGUCAUUGUUUCCACCGCCACGGUGGUGUAACGGCCUGCGCCAGAGAAUUCGUUUCGCAUUGUUCAAUGCCCAAUCACGUGACGAUGAUUUUGCCGCCGGUUUCACGCCUGGUUUAACGUGAAUGUCCCGCGUUUUUAUUACGGCGCGUAAUACGCGGGAGGGGGGAGGGCGAGGAAAAGGAAGAGGAGGAGGAGGAGGAGGAGGUGGUGGAGGAUAGGAGGGCGAAAAAUGGUAAUUGCGCUUGUGAAUGAGAGUCGAAGAGAAAGAGAGAGAGAGAGAGAGAGGGGGAAGGGAGAGUUAUUGGCUUCGGCCUUAGCGAGCGGAGAUGCACGCGAGAAACACGUUUCUUCGGUGGAGGAAGCUUUUGACGGAAUUUUCUUUCUCCUUUUUUUCUUUCUUUCAUCGACGAGAGAAAUAUUCCUCGAGGAUUCUCCCUUUUAGUUCUCCUUUACGCGUGAUUGAGAUUUGGAUUUUUGAAACGUGAUGAUGCGAAUCCUAUAUAUUGUAGGAGACUGGAGAAAUAAUCGGGGAUGAACAAAAAUUCGUAUGAUAUUAAUUCGAUCUCUGAUAUGUUAUUCUUAACAUUCAGUAGAAAAGUAAUUGUAAUUUCGAUCGUAACGUAACUCUUUAUUUUUUCGUUCGUACAGCACGAAACAACACGGUUAAACAACAACUGCAACAGUUCACAGUUAUGAUAAGAACGACUCGGUUAGGCUUCGCUCGCCAUCGAGGCGGGAAAAAAGAAAAAAAAAAUGAAAUUAAAUAAAGUUCUAGCUUUAGCAUUGUAUUUGGAAAAAAGCAAUAUAUUUUAUACACCACGUUUAAAAAAAAAAAAAAAA